rnacentral:rRNA from 1 species
UGGGGAAUAUUGCACAAUGGGCGCAAGCCUGAUGCAGCAACGCCGCGUGAGGGACGACGGCCUUCGGGUUGUAAACCUCUUUUAGUAGGGAAGAAGCGAAAGUGACGGUACCUGCAGAAAAAACGCACCGGCUAACUACGUGCCAGCAGCCGCGGUAAUACGUAGGGUGCGAGCGUUGUCCGGAAUUAUUGGGCGUAAAGAGCUCGUAGGCGGUCUGUCGCGUCUGCUGUGAAAACCCGAGGCUCAACCUCGGGCCUGCAGUGGGUACGGGCAGACUAGAGUGCGGUAGGGGAGAAUGGAAUUCCUGGUGUAGCGGUGGAAUGCGCAGAUAUCAGGAGGAACACCGAUGGCGAAGGCAGUUCUCUGGGCCGUAACUGACGCUGAGGAGCGAAAGCGUGGGGAGCGAACAGGAUUAGAUACCCUGGUAGUCCACGCCGUAAACGUUGGGCGCUAGAUGUGGGGACCAUUCCACGGUUUCCGUGUCGCAGCUAACGCAUUAAGCGCCCCGCCUGGGGAGUACGGCCGCAAGGCUAAAACUCAAAUGAAUUGACGGGGUCAUAGCUGUUUCCU